rnacentral:rRNA from 1 species
UGGAUUAGGCAUGCAAGUCGAGCGACGGGACCGCAAGGCCUCGUAGCGGCAAACGGGUUAGUAACGCGUGAGUAAUUUUCCUUUAAGACAGGCAUAGCUUCGUGAAAACGGAGGUAAUACCUGAUAAUACCAUAGAUGUGCAUAUGUCAAUGGUCAAAGGUAGGGACCGCAAGGCCUACUACUUAGAGAUGAGCUCGCGUCCUAUCAGCUUGUUGGUAGGGUAAUGGCCUACCAAGGCUUAUGACGGGUAGCUGGUCUGAGAGGACGAUCAGCAACACUGGGACUGAGACACUGCCCAGACUCCUACGGGAGGCUGCAGUCGAGAAUCUUUAGCAAUGGACGAAAGUCUGACUAUGCGACGCCGCGUGAGGGAUGAAGGUCUUCGGAUCGUAAACCUC